rnacentral:lncRNA from 1 species
UGCCACCUCUGCUUGCUUGAGACUCCCCCAUCAGAACUCUACCAUCCUCGCCCUUGAUGCACCUAACUUGGUCAAGAUCACGCCUUCCUUUCCCUUUCUUUAGCUAAUCGGAAUAACUUCCUGUCCCCGCCUUUCUCCCCUAAUUCCUCGUACAUGCGACCAAACGCAGCGUUUUUGGCUUCCGUAACCGCCAUCUUUGCUUCUUUCCUCACCGCCUUGUAGAUCUCUCUGUUCGCUCUCCGUUCUUCUUCGCUUGUACUCCCUGCC